AGGAUAGAGUUUUACCUCGAUGAAAGUUUCAUUUUUACUAAUGUGAUUUUCAUGGGGAUAAGACCCUAUCAUGGUUAUAAUGACUUUUGGUGUAUCCAUCUUCCAAUAGAAUGGCAACUAGUCAGACAUCUGUUUAGACACCAAAAUCAUUAUUUGUUUUCAUUCAUCUCAUUGGCCGUGUAGUUCAUGUCUAUGCCUCAUCCCGUUAUGCAUAGGCGCCCGAACAUGAUGGCAACGCUGGAAAUGUUUAUUUCGAGCGUCUUUUUUUG
rfam:Listeria monocytogenes EGD-e, complete genome